rnacentral:rRNA from 1 species
CACGUAGGGGGCGAGCGUUGUCCGGAUUUAUUGGGCGUAAAGAGCUCGUAGGCGGCUCGGUAAGUCGGGUGUGAAAACUCUAGGCUCAACCUAGAGACGCCACCCGAUACUGCUGUGGCUAGAGUCCGGUAGGGGAGCAUGGAAUUCCUGGUGUAGCGGUGAAAUGCGCAGAUAUCGGGAGGAACAUCAGUGGCGAAGGCGACUACCUGGCCUGUUCUUGACGCUGAGGCGCGAAAGCUAGGGGAGCAAACGGG